CUUUGUGAGAUGCCAGGAUAACAGUGCCCGGUGUCAGUGUCGCUUACCCUGUGAUUGGCAUAUGGCAGGCCAUGUGACACAGCCAGCAUGACGGUGAGAUCAGCGUAAUCAAGAGGCCAUGAAGAGACACUGCAUUCACACAACCAGGCAAUGAAUUGCUCCUGCCUUUUCAUCUUCAGAUCUGCAGUUUCUCUGGGUUGCAAGGCACACACGUACCUCUUUGCACGGCUGUACAGUACAACAACCACAAGGUCGUUAUUCAUCAGGUCAUCUGGUCAUUCCUCCUGCAGAAUGAAGAGCCACUACUGGUUUGAACUAGUAUGAUGUGUUACACAACAACACAAUCCAAGAACCACCACGAUCCAGCCUGUACAUUCCGGUGGUUGUCAUAGCAACAAGGCAGCAUCCCUCUCUCCAUCCUUUGUCCAGUGUCUCCCCAUCGUUUGAGCUUCCCAGACGGAAAGGCGGUGUGGAUUCUGCAUGCAAAUCGAACCCCUAAUUGAGCCUCGGAGCGAUGUGGUAAACUCCCCCCAUUCUGCAAUGGCGUUAAAACACUCAGAUGUUAAAUGAGACAAAGAGGAAAACAGAUGAAUA